rnacentral:lncRNA from 1 species
UCGGUGCGACGCACGAGUUACAAACUAGUUUAAUUAAAAAACGAAAGAGAACAACAAAAAACUAAUAGAGAACAAAAAUGAUCCUAAUUCUAAGACCUAAAUCCAUUCGUACUCUCGGUCUCUCAUCAUCUUCUUGCUCUCUCAUAAACAUCACGUUCUUUCAUAUGUCGUUGUGUACCUUCAUCAACAUCGAUUAUGCUUCUACGAAUGUUCUCCCAGGUUCAUGUGGCUUAAUCUUUUCGUUCCUCUUCCUUUUCUUCUCGCGUUCUCAUCGUAUUUUUUUUCCCUUCUUACUCUUCUUGAGAUUAUCGUAGAACAGAAGUUUGUGCAACCAAAGUAUAGCACAAAAGGUCACAUCUCUUCUAUUUGCCUUCACAAAGUUUGCGUACGACAACACAAUAGGAAUAUGCUUCCUCCCUCUCUUUUUCUUUAUCUUCCCUAAAUACUUUUGAUUAUGCAAAAUAUGUUUUAGUGGGUUUAGGUUUCAUAUGCUACAUACACUAAAUUUUUUAUAUUAUCUUUUGUUUUCCUUAAUUUCACAUUCAAAAUUGGUUUGGCCUUGUUUUUUGACAUGGUUAAAGUUGUUGGAACCUAGUUGGUCCCAAGAACAAUUCAUCUAUGUAGCUUUGAUGUUAACAAAAGUAUUUUGUGGGAACAAUUUAUUGCACUAAUAAUUUCAUUAAAUGUGCAUAAAUUAAAAUAGGAAAUCGGAAGCAAAUAUUAGAAGGAAGAAAUAAGAAAAAAAAUAUUAGGGAAAGUCACCAGAGGAAGCCAUAAGAGAAGUCACCAAAGGAAGUGAUCAACAGAAGUCACCAGAGAAAGUAUCCAAAGAAAGUGACUAGAGGAAGUAAAAAGCUCAGAUGAAACGAAACCAAAUCACUUAACAAAAUCCUCAUAAUCGGAAAAAUGCAUGCUCUGGAAUCAGAAAAAUGCAUGCUCUGGAAAAGUACGUGCAUCUGUCUCUAAUAGCGUGCUUGUGGUAGUUCAGCGUAUUUUUGGUAAAUCAACAUGCCUCUCAUAAACAUUAGCUCUAGCAUGCCUGUAAUGAAAAGUAAAUGUAGCAUGCCUCUGAUGAACAAUAUUUUUGAGCAUGCAUUUGAAGUCUACUAUUUUCAAGUCUGCCUCUGAAGCCCAUGUUCCACUAGCUCAAAUAAUUGCAACAUGUUCCAAAAUGCUGCCUCUAAUAAGCAUCCUUUGAAGUUUCAAUGACUCUGAUAAUGAAACAAAUGUGAAGUUGUCCAUGCCACUAAUUCUAAGUCACACAAUUUUGCCUCUGGCAGAAUUAUUCAAGCAACACAACAUUUGACUUCAACAAUCAAGUCAAUGAUUUUGAUGGAGAAAAGUGAACGACUCUAAUGGAAGGUCAAAGACUUUGAUAGAUUGAGUAAAAUACUAAAUUGGACUGAGUCGUAUCCUUACGUUUGAAGGUCCAAGAACAAGCCUAUAAUUGUUCCUGCCCAAAUCAAAUCAAGCAUAUGAAGGAAGACUCAAGUUAAUCAAUAUGAAAACGUAAUCUGAACAAAUAUUUUAUCUCUCUAGAAGAAUUGCUCAUAUUAGAUAGGAUAAUAAAAAUUGUCUAACAAUCAUAUUAUCAAGAUUGUAUCAACUUGAACUAUAUUUGGAAUAAAUAAUUG